rnacentral:rRNA from 1 species
UACGUAGGGUGCGAGCGUUAUUCGGAAUUACUGGGCGUAAAGCGUGCGUAGGCGGUUCGUUAAGUCUGAUGUGAAAGCCCCGGGCUCAACCUGGGAACUGCAUUUGAAACUGGCGGGCUUGAGUGUGGCAGAGGGGGGUGGAAUUCCGCGUGUAGCAGUGAAAUGCGUAGAGAUGCGGAGGAACACCGAUGGCGAAGGCAGCCCCCUGGGCCAAAACUGACGCUCAGGCACGAAAGCGUGGGGAGCAAACAGG